rnacentral:rRNA from 1 species
GAGGGGCAGCAUGGUCUUAGCUUGCUAAGGCCGAUGGCGACCGGCGCACGGGUGAGUAACACGUAUCCAACCUGCCGUCUACUCUUGGACAGCCUUCUGAAAGGAAGAUUAAUACAAGAUGGCAUCAUGAGUCCGCAUGUUCACAUGAUUAAAGGUAUUCCGGUAGACGAUGGGGAUGCGUUCCAUUAGAUAGUAGGCGGGGUAACGGCCCACCUAGUCUUCGAUGGAUAGGGGUUCUGAGAGGAAGGUCCCCCACAUUGGAACUGAGACACGGUCCAAACUCCUACGGGAGGCAGCAGUGAGGAAUAUUGGUCAAUGGGCGAGAGCUUGAACCAGCCAAGUAGCGUGAAGGAUGACUGCCCUAUGGGUUGUAAACUUCUUUUGUAAAGGAAUAAAGUCGGGUAUGGAUACCCGUUUGCAUGUACUUUAUGAAUAAGGAUCGGCUAACUCCGUGCCAGCAGCCGCGGUAAUACGGAGGAUCCGAGCGUUAUCCGGAUUUAUUGGGUUUAAAGGGAGCGUAGAUGGAUGUUUAAGUCAGUUGUGAAAGUUUGCGGCUCAACCGUAAAAUUGCAGUUGAUACUGGAUAUCUUGAGUGCAGUUGAGGCAGGCGGAAUUCGUGGUGUAGCGGUGAAAUGCUUAGAUAUCACGAAGACUCCGAUUGCGAAGGCAGCCUGCUAAGCU